rnacentral:rRNA from 1 species
UGGGGAAUAUUGGACAAUGGGCGCAAGCCUGAUCCAGCCAUGCCGCGUGAGUGAUGAAGGCCUUAGGGUUGUAAAGCUCUUUUGUCCGGGACGAUAAUGACGGUACCGGAAGAAUAAGCCCCGGCUAACUUCGUGCCAGCAGCCGCGGUAAUACGAAGGGGGCUAGCGUUGCUCGGAAUCACUGGGCGUAAAGGGCGCGUAGGCGGCCGAUUAAGUCGGGGGUGAAAGCCUGUGGCUCAACCACAGAAUUGCCUUCGAUACUGGUUGGCUUGAGACCGGAAGA